AAGUAAGUGCUAGCAGCAUAACGUCCCGUGGGGAUUCUACUGAGUGGUGAUAAUUCCCGGGUUUUCAUGGUUUUGACAUCCAGCCUUGAAAUGACGGCCACUGCCGGGAGUCCGGCAGCUUUUCCCCUCCGGAGCUGCUGGUCCAGAGCGACGGGCGGGAAGAGCAGCGGGAGGGUUGAACAGGCGGGAAACAGAUUCAACAUGGCGGGCGGCCCAGGCUUACAGUUAACGACGUCAUCCCGGUCUGAACCAACGGCAGGCGCAUCCGAUAUAUUCGGUUUGUUCGGCCGUCUUAACAGGAAGAAGAGGAUAGAAAUCCCACUGGCAGCUGAGCAAUAAUGAAGACGAAGAGCUGCAGAAAUAUUUACCAGAGAAAAGGAGAACCAGGAUGGUGAAGGUGAAACAACAGAGGCAGCUGACAGGUUCUGUUAAGUCCGAUCAGAUCAGCGCAGCGGGACACCAGCAGAACCUUCAUAUUCACAGCCAGGCUGUAAAAAACAAAGUCGGCUUCAUCCGGGCCUGCGGCUCUAAUUAUCGGGCAAACAGCGAGCGGGCAGAGCGCGGCCUUCUGGGAGGUGUGACUGCUUAACGAGAUGGAUCCGAGCUGGCAGAGAGCAAACACGCAUCAGAACUGGACCAGCGGCACCGGCUCUGCAUCUCACACAGAAACGCUGGUAUGAAGACGUUUGGUUUCUUCGGAGGGUUUAAAAUACCAAAAGGUUCAUUGAUAUUCAAUAA